rnacentral:lncRNA from 1 species
UGGAAUCCCUUACCAGCAACGCCCACAACUUAAGGUUCCGUGAAUCGCUGCAAGUCUACCUGAUCUUCAUCAAUGGACUUCGCAAUCCGAUCUGCUACACCAUUCUCCUCCCACGGUAUGCAUCGCAUCACGACCUCCCAAGGCCUCCUGAUACCAACUUGAAUGAACCGCACCCUGUGUAGUACCAUCGGUAACAAGCUUGACCCCCUCGCUGCAGACACUCUCAAUGAUAAUUUUUUUAUACUCGCCACGCCUCUUCCAUAUACUUAGAGUUCACACAGUAAUACCGAAGUUCGCCCAAUCUGCCUGUUAAAUCAAAUCAACCACCG